rnacentral:rRNA from 1 species
UGAACGCUGGCGGCAUGCCUUACACAUGCAAGUCGAACGGUAACGGGCCUUCGGGUGCCGGCGAGUGGCGAACGGGUGAGUAAUACAUCGAAACGUGCCCGAUCGUGGGGGAUAACGAGGCGAAAGCUUUGCUAAUACCGCAUACGAUCUACGGAUGAAAGCAGGGGACCGCAAGGCCUUGCGCGGACGGAGCGGCCGAUGGCAGAUUAGGUAGUUGGUGGGAUAAAAGCUUACCAAGCCGACGAUCUGUAGCUGGUCUGAGAGGAUGAUCAGCCACACUGGGACUGAGACACGGCCCAGACUCCUACGGGAGGCAGCAGUGGGGAAUUUUGGACAAUGGGCGCAAGCCUGAUCCAGCCAUGCCGCGUGCAGGAUGAAGGCCUUCGGGUUGUAAACUGCUUUUGUACGGAACGAAAAGCCUUCUUUUAAUACAGGAGGGUCAUGACGGUACCGUAAGAAUAAGCACCGGCUAACUACGUG